UACGUAGGGUGCGAGCGUUGUCCGGAAUCACUGGGCGUAAAGGGUGCGUAGGCGGCCGUGCAAGUCUGGCGUGAAAGCCCCGGGCUCAGCCCGGGAAGUGCGCUCGAAACUGCGCGGCUCGAGUGCCGGAGGGGAGAGUGGAAUUCCUGGUGUAGCGGUGAAAUGCGUAGAUAUCAGGAGGAACACCGGUGGCGAAGGCGGCCCUCUGGACGGAUACUGACGCUGAGACGCGAAAGCGUGGGGAGCAAACAGG
rnacentral:rRNA from 1 species